AGUGAACGCUGGCGGCGUGCUUAACACAUGCAAGUCGAACGAGAACGGGUUAUAGCUUGCUAUAAUUGUCAGCUAAGUGGCGCACGGGUGAGUAAUGUAUAGGUAAUAUGCCUCUUACUAAGGGAUAACAAAUGGAAACGUUUGCUAAUACCUUAUACUCCUUAUUAACAGAAGUUAAUAAGGGAAAGAUUUAUUGGUAAGAGAUUAGCCUGUAUUGUAUCAGUUAGUUGGUGGGGUAAUGGCUUACCAAGACUAUGACACAUAACUGGUUUGAGAGGAUGAUCAGUCACACUGGAACUGAGACACGGUCCAGACUCCUACGGGAGGCAGCAGUGGGGAAUAUUGCACAAUGGACGAAAGUCUGAUGCAGCAACGCCGCGUGGAGGAUGACGCAUUUCGGUGCGUAAACUCCUUUUAUAUGAGAAGAUAAUGACGGUAUUAUAUGAAUAAGCACCGGCUAACUCCGUGCCAGCAGCCGCAGUAAUAC
rnacentral:rRNA from 1 species